rnacentral:rRNA from 1 species
UACGUAGGGUGCGAGCGUUGUCCGGAAUUAUUGGGCGUAAAGAGCUCGUAGGCGGUCUGUCGCGUCGGAUGUGAAAGCCCGGGGCUUAACUCCGGGCCUGCAUUCGAUACGGGCAGACUAGAGUGUGGUAGGGGAGAUCGGAAUUCCUGGUGUAGCGGUGAAAUGCGCAGAUAUCAGGAGGAACACCGAUGGCGAAGGCAGAUCUCUGGGCCGUAACUGACGCUGAGGAGCGAAAGCAUGGGGAGCGAACAGG